AUGGACGCCGGCAAAGAAUCAGCAUCAGCGAUGGCGGCGGGGGCGGGGGUGGCAUCGGCGAUGGAGCUGGACUUGUCGCGCGGCGGCGUGGUGCCCAGCUUCGACUUCGCGUUCGAUUCGGCCACCUUCUCCGACAGGGUGCUGCGGAUAGAGAUCGGCACCGUCAGCCCCGCGCCGGGAUCUGGCGGAGGAUCCGCCGCCGACCAGGAGCGCCGCCGCGAAGAGGAAGGUGAGAAAGAACAGAGUGUUGACUCUUCAUCGAUGAUGGUGGGCAGACCACUUUUACGAGAAAAAAACAUGCAUAUCAAUUCAGCGAUUCUUGCUUCAAGAAGUCCUUUCUUUCUAAAGUUUUUCUCAAAUGGCAUGAAAGAAUCUGAUCAGACGAAUCCAACAAUUAGGAUUACUGAUUCAGAGGAAAAUGCUUUUAUGGAGCUCUUAAGCUAUAUGUACAGUGGAAAGUUGACUAUAGCUGAGCCCACUCGUCUGCUCGACAUCUUGAUGGCUGCAGAUAAGUUCGAGGUUCUUUCUUGCAUGAGGCAUUGUAGUCAGCUGCUCAUAAGCUUGCCUAUGACCACAGAAUCUGCACUGAUCUACAUAGACCAUCCUUGUUCCGUUUCAGUGGUCAAUGAAGUUCGGCCUUUCAUAGAUGCAGCCAAGGAAUUCCUUGCGAACAAAUACAAGGAUUUUUAUGAGUUUAAAAGCGAGCUGAUGAACAUUUCUCUUGCUGGGAUAAAAGCCAUAUUUUCAAGUACUGACGUACAAGUGGAAACUGAAGAUGACAUAUAUUACUUCAUGCUUGACUGGGCCCGUGCACGAUACGUAGAAUUGGAGGAAAGACGUAAGAUCUUGAGUUCUCGCUUACUUCCUCUGGUACGCUUCAGUCAUAUGACGUGUGUGACACUUCAGGAGAUAUUAGCAAGCACUGAUAAUGAUAUAGAUCGCGAGCAAGUAACUCAUCGUAUUGCUGAGGCACUUCUACCCAAGGCUUACCCAAAGCAGAUGGAAGGUGCUCUUGCAGCAGAGGUAACAACCUGUUCGCGAUUUGCUGAGCGAGCGUACGAGUACAAACCUGUGAAAUUGAUUGCGUUUGAUCAACCCUGCCCACAGAUUAUAGUUUACUUGGAUCUAACACGCGAGGAGUGCUCUAAACUCUUCCCGUCUGGGCGUAUAUGCCCGCACCCAUUCCGGCUUCUAGGAUGGGGCUUUUAUCUGAUGGCAACCUGUGAAAUGGAUGAGCAGAGUAAGUUGUGCAGCUUUGGCCUCUGGUUAGGGGUCGCCAAAAAUAUGAAGGGAUCGUCAUGUUUCGAGGUAGAUUACGAGUUUGCUGCAAGGAAAAGAUCGUCAGGGCAGUUUGUGCGCAAGUUGGAGGGUAAGAUCUCCAUCGCUGAUGAGACACAUGGAUGCAGUGAUCUAUUUGGCAUUCCAUGGUCGACGUUCAUUGCCAACGACAACCUCUUCAUCAACGGCGUGCUACAUCUGAGAGCUGAUUUGACGGUGUUGCUGGGGCAGCCAAAACUGCAAGCUUGA
rnacentral:rRNA from 1 species